GAUCAUGGCUCAGGAUGAACGCUGGCGGCGUGCUUAACACAUGCAAGUCGAGGGGCAGCAUGAACUUAGCUUGCUAAGUUUGAUGGCGACCGGCGCACGGGUGAGUAACACGUAUCCAACCUGCCGAUGACUCGGGGAUAGCCUUUCGAAAGAAAGAUUAAUACCCGAUGGCAUAGUUCUUCCGCAUGGUGGAACUAUUAAAGAAUUUCGGUCAUCGAUGGGGAUGCGUUCCAUUAGG
rnacentral:rRNA from 1 species